CCACACAAUCAUAGCACAUUCCCUUUACACUUAUCUUAAUGAAGAAAACCUAGACCUAUAGAUGUACACUAAAAGAAAUGAGAAGAGGAGUGCACAACACACAGACCCCUCCCCUGAUUUUCCCAUCUUCUCUGCACCCCGCCACCCUCUAACACAAAAGGACCCCCUUCCUCCACCGGUUUCUCUUCUUAUUCACAAAAAUGUGAAGAAAGCUUCAGCAAUUCUCUAAGCUUCAACAACUGUAAGAACCCAAAAAAACGACCCCAUCCCCCAGUAAUCAUCUUCUUAAGUUCACCCACCCUCAGCUCCUUCUUUGACCAGUAACGACCACCUUACUGUUUCGAUCUUCUUCUUCAGAGAGAUACAACCCAGAAGCCCUCAUCUGAUUUUGCUUCUUCUUCGUUUUUGAAUGUGCGCGCACACACACACAAACAGAGGUAUGGAAUUUCAAUCCAGAAAAGUCGAGUGAACCAUAGUGAGAACAGAUCUGGAGGAUCCAAAAGCGGGGUCAAACCUUUUCCGAUUUCAAGCGAGGUUCAGUUGCUAAAGUUUCGGUAGCAAUUUGGUCUGUGUUCGUGUUUCUUUUUUAUUUUAAUUUUUAUUCGCGUUUCAGGUAUGAAUUUGCAAUUCGAAAUGCUAUAACAAUAGGUGCUCUAUUAGGUUGAAAUGUGUAAUAAUUUUUUCUUUGUCUCUCUGAAAAUUUCGUUAUUCAGUUUCUUCUUUCUUUGUUUUAUUUCGUUGCUUACAUGAUGGUUCGAUGCCUCAGUUUUAGUUAUUGUUCAGUUCUGCGAUGUUACUCUCAUGGUUUUAAUUUAUAUAUGUGGUUGACCUAUUCUUGUUGAUUGAAUUUGGAGCUGAACGUCUGUUUCUUGCGAAACCUGUGUGAAGGGAAGUGUCGGCACUGUAUUGUGUUUAAGUGAAGCAUUUUGUUAAAGUGUGUUUUAUUUGCUUGAAUAUGAGCUUGGCAAGCUUGUCUUGAAAUUAAGCUAUAAGGUGUAUUAAUUACAUAAUUUUUUGAUGUAGGAAGAUUUUAAUGCUUCAUGGGUUGGCGUUAAAAGUAGGGGAUACGGAUUUCGUUCAUGUAUUCGCUAAUUUGCAUCAUU
rnacentral:lncRNA from 1 species